AAAAGUGCUCUGCAUUGCCUGCGACAUCCGCUGUGCAUCGCAGAGCUACGCUACAGUUCCAUUGCACUAUCGCCUAUCGGCCAGCGACGUUGAACGAAUCGAAAAUAGUGCAGACAAUCGCAUAGCAUCGCGCAGGUGGCAAAUCGGGGCAUGCCACGCACUGGCAUGGGUCGGUACAGGAUGCCAUUACCGGCGGCCGAAGAGCUAAAGAGCCACUUGGGCCACUGCGAAAUCUGACGAUUUCUCGACAAGCAACCUACGUGAUCAUAAUACCAAUUCUUGACCCAGAAAUUUCACCCGGCACCCGGCUGCAAUCUUAUUAGCCAAACAUGCUAUGGAGCUAUGGAGCUAUGGAGCUAUGGAGAUGGUGGAGGAGUUCGAUUUAAAUAGCAGCUAUGACCACUUUUGGCUUUUAUACUAUGUUCAUAUCUUUCUUUCUUAAAACACCAGCUAAUGAGGGCACGGCACAGCACAGCAGAAAGACUAAUGCCAGCGGCUCCAAAUUGGAAGAGACUCAAUGGAGACAAGACACAAUAAAGUUCCAGCAAAGUUUCUCACUGUAA